AAUUUGCUGGCUUUAAGAGGAAGAUUAUGAUUAAGAUAGUGUCUUCCACUAUCUAAUUAUAUUAUCAACUCCUUUUCUUUAACUUUGCUAAAGCCAUGCUUUCCACCUCUUCAACCACCACCCUUUGCUCCCCACCAAUACACCUAACUCUCCACACACUUCAUUUUUUUUAUUUCUCCACCACUACAUUACAUAUUCAGCACUACAUCUUGCAGAUUCCUCAUUAAGAAAUCCUCUCUCUCUAAUCUUCUAAAUUACCAUUUUCUUUCCUCCUACUCCUCACGGGUCCUUCAAAGAAAUUAUCAAGUUUGUUUCAAGUUCCAAAUCAAGAAGGUAGGUAAUUAAAUGUCUUACUCUUCAUUAAUCUUCCAGUUUCAAUUUCAAAAAAAUUCAUUCUUACUUUGUGAUCAACAAAUUGCAGAAUCGAACUAUUGCCAACACCACCCCUCAUAUCGAGGUUGAGCAGGCGAUGGAAUGGAUCGGUGUUGAGCGGAUUUCCCUUUUGAUGUUUAUGUAAUGAAACCUUGAGUAUGCAUCUCCAUAUGCAUAACUCACACGUUUUUCCGCUGCAAACACUCUGAAUUUGUUAUCGUAUUGUGGAACUUAUUACUCCUUCAUUUUGUUUAACUUUCAUUUGGGGUUUAGUCGUUAUGGCUGGCUCGUUUGUUAAUUACCCAAGUGGUUAUAUAUAUAUAUACCACUAGCUUGUUGUUA